rfam:Myotis lucifugus cont2.4564, whole genome shotgun sequence.
AGGGGUUCUCAGGUGACACACCCCAGAAUCAGGCUCCCUCCUCUCUAGUUCUGGGUGCAUCAACAGAGAACCGCA